CGUUCAACCGCAAAAGAAGCAGAGGGGGCUUAGUGGUGGGGUGACUGCGUACCUUUUGUAUAAUGGGUCAGCGACUUAUAUUCUGUAGCAAGGUUAACCGCAUAGGGGAGCCGGAGGGAAACCGAGUCUUAAUUGGGCGUUAAGUUGCAGGGUAUAGACCCGAAACCCGGUGAUCUAGCCAUGGGCAGGUUGAAGGUUGGGUAACACUAACUGGAGGACCGAACCGACUAAUGUUGAAAAAUUAGCGGAUGACCUGUGGCUGGGGGUGAAAGGCCAAUCAAACCGGGAGAUAGCUGGUUCUCCCCGAAAGCUAUUUAGGUAGCGCCUCGUGAAUUCAUCUCCGGGGGUAGAGCACUGUUUCGGCCAGGGGGCCAUCCCGGCUUACCAAUCCGAUGCAAACUGCGAAUACCGGAGAAUGUUAUCACGGGAGACACACGGCGGGUGCUAACGUCCGUCGUGAAGAGGGAAACAACCCAGACCGCCAGCUAAGGUCCCAAAGUCAUGGUUAAGUGGGAAACGAUGUGGGAAGGCCCAGACAGCCAGGAUGUUGGCUUAGAAGCAGCCAUCAUUUAAAGAAAGCGUAAUAGCUCACUGGUCGAGUCGGCCUGCGCGGAAGAUGUAACGGGGCUAAACCAUGCACCGAAGCUGCGGCAGCGACACUGAUGUGUUGUUGGGUAGGGGAGCGUUCUGUAAGCCGUUGAAGGUGGCCUGUGAGGGUUGCUGGAGGUAUCAGAAGUGCGAAUGCUGACAUAAGUAACGAUAAAGCGGGUGAAAAGCCCGCUCGCCGGAAGACCAAGGGUUCCUGUCCAACGUUAAUCGGGGCAGGGUGAGUCGACCCCUAAGGCGAGGCCGAAAGGCGUAGUCGAUGGGAAACGGGUUAAUAUUCCCGUACUUGGUGUUACUGCGAAGGGGGGACGGAGAAGGCUAUGUUGGCCGGGCGACGGUUGUCCCGGUUUAAGCGUGUAGGUGUGUGUUCCAGGUAAAUCCGGUUCACUUUAACACUGAGGCGUGACGACGAGGCACUACGGUGCUGAAGCAACAAAUGCCCUGCUUCCAGGAAAAGCCUCUAAGCCUCAGGUAACAUCAAAUCGUACCCCAAACCGACACAGGUGGUCAGGUAGAGAAUACCAAGGCGCUUGAGAGAACUCGGGUGAAGGAACUAGGCAAAAUGGUGCCGUAACUUCGGGAGAAGGCACGCUGACACGUAGGUGAAGUGGUUUACCCAUGGAGCUGAAGUCAGUCGAAGAUACCAGCUGGCUGCAACUGUUUAUUAAAAACACAGCACUGUGCAAACACGAAAGUGGACGUAUACGGUGUGACGCCUGCCCGGUGCCGGAAGGUUAAUUGAUGGGGUCAGCGCAAGCGAAGCUCCUGAUCGAAGCCCCGGUAAACGGCGGCCGUAACUAUAACGGUCCUAAGGUAGCGAAAUUCCUUGUCGGGUAAGUUCCGACCUGCACGAAUGGCGUAAUGAUGGCCAGGCUGUCUCCACCCGGGACUCAGUGAAAUUGAACUCGCUGUGAAGAUGCAGUGUACCCGCGGCAAGACGGAAAGACCCCGUGAACCUUUACUAUAGCUUGACACUGAACACUGGUCCUUGAUGUGCAGGAUAGGUGGGAGGCUUUGAAGUGUGGACGCCAGUCUGCAUGGAGCCAUCCUUGAAAUACCACCCUUUAAUGGCUGGUGUUCUAACGUGGGCCCGUGAACCGGGUUGCGGACAGUGUCUGGUGGGUAGUUUGACUGGGGCGGUCUCCUCCUAAAGAGUAACGGAGGAGCACGAAGGUUGGCUAAUCCUGGUCGGACAUCAGGAGGUUAGUGCAAUGGCAUAAGCCAGCUUGACUGCGAGCGUGACGGCGCGAGCAGGUGCGAAAGCAGGUCAUAGUGAUCCGGUGGUUCUGAAUGGAAGGGCCAUCGCUCAACGGAUAAAAGGUACUCCGGGGAUAACAGGCUGAUACCGCCCAAGAGUUCAUAUCGACGGCGGUGUUUGGCACCUCGAUGUCGGCUCAUCACAUCCUGGGGCUGAAGUAGGUCCCAAGGGUAUGGCUGUUCGCCAUUUAAAGUGGUACGCGAGCUGGGUUUAGAACGUCGUGAGACAGUUCGGUCCCUAUCUGCCGUGGGCGCUGGAAGAUUGAGGGGGGCUGCUCCUAGUACGAGAGGACCGGAGUGGACGCAUCACUGGUGUUCGGGUUGUCAUGCCAAUGGCACUGCCCGGUAGCUACAUGCGGAAGAGAUAAGUGCUGAAAGCAUCUAAGCACGAAACUUGCCCCGAGAUGAAUCUUCCCUGAGCCUUUAAGGCUCCUGAAGGAACGUUGAAGACGACGACGUUGAUAGGCCGGGUGUGUAAGCGCAGCGAUGCGUUGAGCUAACCGGUACUAAUGAACCGUGAGGCUUAACCUU
rnacentral:rRNA from 1 species